GGGUGCAGCAGGCGCGAAACCUUUACACUGCACGACAGUGCGAUAGGGGGACUCCGAGUGUGAGGGCAUAUAGCCCUCGCUUUUCUGUACCGUAAGGUGGUACAAGAAUAAGGACUGGGCAAGACCGGUGCCAGCCGCCGCGGUAAUACCGGCAGUCCAAGUGAUGGCCGAUAUUAUUGGGCCUAAAGCGUCCGUAGCUUGCUGUGUAAGUCCAUUGGGAAAUCGACCAGCUCAACUGGUCGGCGUCCGGUGGAAACUACACAGCUUGGGGCCGAGAGACUCAACGGGUACGUCCGGGGUAGGAGUGAAAUCCUGUAAUCCUGGACGGACCACCAAUGGGGAAACCACGUUGAGAGACCGGACCCGACAGUGAGGGACGAAAGCCAGGGUCUCGAACCGGAUUAGAUACCCGGGUAGUCCUGGCUGUAAACAAUGCUCGCUAGGUAUGUCACGCGCCAUGAGCACGUGAUGUGCCGUAGGGAAGACGAUAAGCGAGCCGCCUGGGAAGUACGUCCGCAAGGAUGAAACUUAAAGGAAUUGGCGGGGGA
rnacentral:rRNA from 1 species